GCCUUCAUGGUGUAAUGGUAGCACACUCGGCGCGUAUUCGAGAGGUCCGGGUUCGAGUCCCGGCGAGGGCA
rnacentral:tRNA from 1 species